rnacentral:rRNA from 1 species
GACGAACGCUGGCGGCGUGCUUAACACAUGCAAGUCGAACGGAAAGGCCCUGCUUUUGUGGGGUGCUCGAGUGGCGAACGGGUGAGUAACACGUGAGUAACCUGCCCUUGACUUUGGGAUAACUUCAGGAAACUGGGGCUAAUACCGGAUAGGAGCUCCUGCUGCAUGGUGGGGGUUGGAAAGUUUCGGCGGUUGGGGAUGGACUCGCGGCUUAUCAGCUUGUUGGUGGGGUAGUGGCUUACCAAGGCUUUGACGGGUAGCCGGCAUGAGAGGGGGACCGGCGACAUGGGGACUGAGAUACGGCCCAGACGCCAACGGUAGGCAGCGGUGGGGAAUAUUGCACAAUGGGCGGAAGCCUGAUGCGGCAACGCCGCGUGCGGGAUAACGGCCUUCGGGUGGAAAACCGCUUUCGCCUGUGACGAAGCGUGAGUGACGGUAAUGGGUAAAGAAGCACCGGCUAACUACGUG